rnacentral:rRNA from 1 species
ACGAGGGAUUGCCCUAGUAACGGCGAGUGAACAGGCAAGAGCUCAGAUUUGAAAGGCACUUUUGUGCCGUUGUAUUCUGAAGUUAGGGUCCUGAGAAACGAUGCUUAAGUCUUCUGGAAAGGAGCGCCAUGGAGGGUGAUAGCCCCGUCUAGCAUUGACCUCAUAUAGGAUCUUAACAUGGAGUCGAGUUGUUUGGGAAUGCAGCUCAAAUGGGUGGUAUGCUCCAUCUAAAGCUAAAUAUCUGCGAGAGACCGAUAGUAAACAAGUACUGUGAGGGAAAGAUGAAAAGAACUUUGAAAAGAGAGUGAAAAAGUACGUGAAAUUGUUGAAAUGGAAGGGUAGGCCGCUAACCAUGUAGAGCCGUGUUUGGGGGGAAGAUAAAUGCUGUAGAAUGUAGCUCCUCGGAGUAUUAUAGAUGCAGUUCAUAUUCCCACCCGAGCGCGAGGAUCUCAGGUUCUACUAAAUGGUGGUCUACCACCCGUCUUGAA